UACGGAGGGUGCAAGCGUUAUCCGGAUUCACUGGGUUUAAAGGGUGCGUAGGUGGGCAGGUAAGUCAGUGGUGAAAUCUCCGGGCUUAACCCGGAAACUGCCAUUGAUACUAUCUGUCUUGAAUACCGUGGAGGUGAGCGGAAUAUGUCAUGUAGCGGUGAAAUGCUUAGAUAUGACAUAGAACACCAAUUGCGAAGGCAGCUCACUACACGAAUAUUGACACUGAGGCACGAAAGCGUGGGGAUCAAGCAGG
rnacentral:rRNA from 1 species